CUCAGAUGUAUGGGACAGUCCAGUGUCAGACUAUCAACCUGAAAGGGAUUUUAGCUUUCUUUAGUGGUUAGCGAGGUGGUCAGGGGAGCAAUGGUGGGCUCUCUCUAAGCAUCUAAUACCCAGUACUGGGCCUCUAGUCCAUUACAGACACCUUAUCCUGGUCUCACAUAUCUUGGACACACUGGACAUUACCGACACCGGCCCGGUCUGGCUCUGGUAGCCACAGAAUGUAGCAGUGUAGAUGGCUGCAGCACCGAGGUCAAUGUCCCCUUACCGACGCCCAUACAGCCACAUGCCACACUUCAGCAUGCAGACAUCCAGUCCCAGGACGAGCCAACAGAACAUCUGACCAUGGAGCUUGCCAGGCUGUGGAUCCUACAGGUCUGCAAUCACCAAGAAAUCAUAUCAUUCUCCAUCCAUAUUAAGACGCAGGCAGGCACAGCCCUCUCCAUCACUGGUGCCCCUGACAACACAGGAAAUGGAUCCCACCCGGUGGCAGCCUCAGCCCUCACACUAUUUAGCACCACAAUUAUCCCCCAUUCAUUCACAGGCUGGAUGAACCAUAUAAGGCCAACUGUGAUUCAGCGAUGAUCAGCGCAAUGUGAAACCACGGGUCUGGCCUGGCAAUUUGAUGUAAUUGUGCUGCUGUGAUCUUCUGUAGUAGGUGAGGGACCUCCUUUAUUGUGCCAUUCUACUGGAGGGAGAGAAUUGGAAUGAAGGAGUCUUUGAUUUUAGGUGGACACAGUCAUAAUAUCUGGAAGAGGUACAAUGGUGUAGCAUAUUGUGGGUGAUCAAACAGAGUAGGGGAAAAUUAACAGUGAUGUAAAAAAUACUUUAAAGUACUACUUGCGUCUUUUUUGGGGGUAUCUGUACUUUACUAUUUACCCUACCUU